GGAUGCGAUCAUACCAGCACUAAAGCACCGGAUCCCAUCAGAACUCUGAAGUUAAGCGUGCUUGGGUGAGAGUAGUACUAGGAUGGGUGACCUCCUGGGAAGUCCUCGUGUUGCACUCC
rnacentral:rRNA from 1 species